rnacentral:rRNA from 1 species
CAACAGCUCAAAUUUGAAAUCUGGCCCUAGGCCCGAGUUGUAAUUUGCAGAGGAUGCUUUUGGUGAGGUGCCUUCCAAGUUCCCUAGAACGGGACGCCAGAGAGGGUGAGAGCCCCGUACAGUUGGACACCAAGCCUUUGUAAAGCUCCUUCGACGAGUCGAGUAGUUUGGGAAUGCUGCUCAAAAUGGGAGGUAUAUUUCUUCUAAAGCUAAAUACCGGCCAGAGACCGAUAGCGCACAAGUAGAGUGAUCGAAAGAUGAAAAGCACUUUGAAAAGAGGGUUAAACAGCACGUGAAAUUGUUAAAAGGGAAGCGCUUGUGACCAGACUUGCGUCCGGUGAAUCACCCAGCUCUCGCGGCUGGGGCACUUCGCCGGCUCAGGCCAGCAUCAGCUCGCUGUCGGGGACAAAAGCUUCAGGAACGUAGCUCUCUUCGGGGAGUGUUAUAGCCUGUUGCACAAUACCCUUCGGCGGGCUGAGGUACGCGCUCCGCAAGGAUGCUGGCAUAAUGGUCAUCAGCGACCCGUCUUG